UACGUAGGGUGCGAGCGUUGUCCGGAAUUACUGGGCGUAAAGAGCUCGUAGGCGGUUUGUUGCGUCUAUCGUGAAAACCUGCGGCUUAACUGUGGGCUUGCGGUGGAUACGGGCAGACUUGAGUUCGGUAGGGGAGACUGGAAUUCCGGGUGUAGUGGUGGAAUGCGUAGAGAUCCGGAGGAACACCAGCGGCGAAGGCGGCAUCCUGGACUGGUCCUGACACUCAGGAGCGAAAGCGUGGGGAGCGAGUCCGG
rnacentral:rRNA from 1 species